UUUGGUUCUUUUAAGUUAUUAUUAUUUUUAUUUUUAUUUUGUUUUUGAAUUUGCGGUUCGUUUUUGUUUGUUGUUUACUUUGCAGGAAACGCAAAUACACGAACCAUGAUAAGAGUUAAAGAGACAUCCUGGAGAAAAAUGUUUCUUCCCUUAUCGUUCUUUCUUCAAUCCUCUUUCCUUCGUAAUUUUUUUUGGCAUUUUUUGAUGUCUAAACAGAAAUUCCAUCAGUUUGCUAGUGCACUGUUUUUCUCGGUGAUGCAUAAUUACUCUCACAGGACGCGCAGCGGGAUCGUAAAAAGAUGGGGGAUGGAGGGUGCUUCUCUUCUUCCAAAUCAUCUUAGAUAAUUUUCUCUCUUCUUCUUUCGUGGUGAGUUUCUUUGCUUUUUGGUUUCUUUUAAUAGUGAAAAUAUUCAUUUAAAUGCGGUGAUGUUUAAGAUGUCGUUUAUGAGAAAGAUCAACAAUCCUAAUUGAAGGAAGCCUUUGUUGUACUGCCCCUUUAUGCGUUUAGUUGUAUGAAAAGAAAAGUAUUAAUUUAUUGUGGUUACGGAUAAA